rnacentral:tRNA from 1 species
GCCUGGGUGUCUCAGUGGGUUGAGUGCCUGACUUCAGCUCAGGUCAUGAUCUCUCUGUUCAUGGGUUUGAGCCCCACAUCUGGCU